GGGUGGCUUUGGGGCAAAGUCCUUCUCACAGAUGUGUGCUAUGAUGCCAGCAGCCAGGGCGUCACCGAGGACGUUGGUCAUGGUUCGCAGCCGGUCCCUGCAGACAGAGUGCCAGGAUUCAGGGAGUGGCCGUGGCCAGGGUGCCCGGGGUGAUGAUGGCUUGGAACAGUCAGCCCCUAUCCUGAAUGUCCCCCUCACUGGUGUUGCCAAGUGCUGUGCUGGUUUUGCAGAUGCAGAGAGAAAAUGGUCUCUAUUGUGAGCCCCGUGCUGGGGCAGCAUCUCUCACCCUGCCUGUGUGAGCAGCGCAGGGACCUGCCAGUGCCGCCUCCCGAACUGGGACAGGCACUGUUGUGCUAAGUGGAGGGAGAGCUGCCUCAGCAGAUCAUAAAACUCCUUGAGAUUCCUCUCGAGGAGAAAUCCUGUAGAUACAGCCACUGCUCCUCUCUUGUCUACCCAGGCACCUCUCACAUUAGGAAAAGGUGCCAGAGGUGCUGGGUACCAUGUGAUGCUGAAAGGCUGGACUGGUGGUGUGUUAAUCUUCCUUUGUGGGAGAAAGAGAAAAAGGGGAAGGGAAAGAGAAAAGCAGCCAUGAUACUUCCCUCUUCUCCCUGGGGGAGUACAAAUCAGCCACCCAUGUGUGGGUUCUAUAACUCAGCAUCUGCUCUCUGUGGUUUCUCACCUAAUGACUCGCUUCAUUUUUAUCUUACUUUAGAAUGGCACAUUUCACAAGCUGUGUGGUUAUUUGUCUGUGACAAGUGUAAUCCAGCAUCAGUUUCUGUCUCAAGAGAAGUCUGGUUUCAUCUAUCAAGAUGAAGAUACAUCACCAUGACUGACCCUGGGCACUGCCCAGAGCAGUGCCUGGAGAGCACUUACAGAGCCCAGUCGACGGCGAUGAUGAGGGUGAUGUCCUCGGUGGGCAGCCCCACGGAGCAUGAAGAUGACAACUGCCUCACAGGAACUGGGAUGAGGAAUGGAGGAAGAACAGAUUGAAGAAAGGAAACCACAGAAGUCAAUUGGAUUGUGACAGACUCUGGGAGAAGGGGACUGCAUUUAGGAAAGGUUCUGGAUGCAGAGUGGUGACCCCAGCCCUGGGCACAGACAUGGGGCUGGGACAAGGAGCAGGAUAUUCUCUCUGUGACAAUUCUCCCUCCCUUAGCUGGCUGCAGAGCAGAGGGAGGAGAAACCUGAUGGAGACAGAGCUGGAAAUCCAGGUUCAGGAGGAGAGCAGGUCAUUAAGAGUUGCAGAAGCAACAGUUGCAGCGGUGGGCACUAGGGAAGGGAGGCACAGUCCAGGUGCUUUGUUUGGAUUGUCUGGAGAAGAAACAGAGAGGCCAGGAAAACCCUUUGCCUAGUCAAAUGUGCUCCAGGAAAAUGUUUGAAUUUGUGUGUCUUCAGGAAAGGUUGGUGGUUUAUAGUGUGAACUUUCUUUCAUUGUAUUUCAAUGAAAAUAGAAUAGAUAAAUAUAAUCUAAAAUUAUUAAAAUCUUUUCAAAGUAGGCAAGAUUUUUCUGUGGAUGAACUUGGGAUACACUGUAGUUGAUCUUAGAUUGUCAAUAAAGUGCUCAGAAGA